rnacentral:rRNA from 1 species
UACGAAAGGAGCAGGUGUUAUUCAGAUUAACUGGGCGUAAAGGGCACGUAGGUGGUUUGUUUAUGUGUAUUAUUAAAAUUGUAAAGCAUAACUUUAUAACGUAUUACAGACAACAAAACUAGAGUUAGGUAGAGGGUAGUAGAAUUUCUAAUGUAAAGGUGAAAUUUGAUAAAAUUAGAGAGAAUACCAAUGGCGUAAGGCAACUAUCUGGUCCUUAACUGAUACUGAGGUGCGAAGGUAUGGGGAGCGAAUAGG